rnacentral:rRNA from 1 species
AACGAACGCUGGCGGCAGGCUUAACACAUGCAAGUCGAGCGCCCCGCAAGGGGAGCGGCAGACGGGUGAGUAACGCGUGGGAAUCUACCCAUCUCUACGGAAUAACGCAUGGAAACGUGUGCUAAUACCGUAUACACCAUUCGGGAGAAAGAUUUAUCGGAGAUGGAUGAGCCCGCGUUGGAUUAGCUAGUUGGUGGGGUAAAGGCCUACCAAGGCGACGAUCCAUAGCUGGUCUGAGAGGAUGAUCAGCCACACUGGGACUGAGACACGGCCCAGACUCCUACGGGAGGCAGCAGUGGGGAAUAUUGGACAAUGGGCGCAAGCCUGAUCCAGCCAUGCCGCGUGAGUGAUGAAGGCCCUAGGGUUGUAAAGCUCUUUCACCGGUGAAGAUAAUGACGGUAACCGGAGAAGAAGCCCCGGCUAACUUCGUGCCAGCAGCCGCCGUAACAC